GACGAACGCUGGCGGCGUGCCUAAUACAUGCAAGUUGAGCGCUGAAGGUUGGUACUUGUACCAACUGGAUGAGCAGCGAACGGGUGAGUAACGCGUGGGGAAUCUGCCUUUGAGCGGGGGACAACAUUUGGAAACGAAUGCUAAUACCGCAUAAAAACUUUAAACACAAGUUUUAAGUUUGAAAGAUGCAAUUGCCUCACUCAAAGAUGAUCCCGCGUUGUAUUAGCUAGUGGGUGAGGUAAAGGCUCACCAAGGCGAGGAUACAUAGCCGACCUGAGAGGGUGCUCGGCCACAUUGGGACUGAGACACGGCCCAAACGCCUACGGGAGGCAGCAGUAGGGAAUCUUCGGCAAUGGAAGAAAGUCUGACCGAGCAACGCCGCGGGAGUGCAGAAGGUUUUCGGAUCGUAAAACUCUGUUGGUAGAGAAGAACGUUGGUGAGAGUGGAAAGCUCAUCAAGUGACGGUAACUACACAGAAAGGGACGGCUAACUACGUG
rnacentral:rRNA from 1 species